rnacentral:rRNA from 1 species
UACGUAGGGGGCAAGCGUUGUCCGGAAUCAUUGGGCGUAAAGAGCGUGUAGGCGGCUCGGUAAGUCCGCUGUGAAAGUCCAGGGCUCAACCCUGGAAUGCCGGUGGAAACUGUCGAGCUAGAGUCCGGAAGAGGCGAGUGGAAUUCCUGGUGUAGCGGUGAAAUGCUUAGAUAUGACACAGAACACCAAUUGCGAAGGCAGCUCGCUAAACUGACAUUGACGCUGAGGCACGAAAGCGUGGGGAGCAAACAGG